rnacentral:sRNA from 1 species
AUUUACAAUUGUUAGGAAGUAACGUUCUGCUAAAUUCGUCCCGCCAAAAAAAUUAAUAUUGUCAAAU